AUUGAACGCUGGCGGCAUGCCUUACACAUGCAAGUCGAACGGCAGCACGGGUGCUUGCACCUGGUGGCGAGUGGCGAACGGGUAAGUAAUACAUCGGAACAUGUCCUGUAGUGGGGGAUAGCCCGGCGAAAGCCGGAUUAAUACCGCAUACGAUCCACGGAUGAAAGCGGGGGACCUUCGGGCCUCGCGCUAUAGGGUUGGCCGAUGGCUGAUUAGCUAGUUGGUGGGGUAAAGGCCUACCAAGGCGACGAUCAGUAGCUGGUCUGAGAGGACGACCAGCCACACUGGGACUGAGACACGGCCCAGACUCCUACGGGAGGCAGCAGUGGGGAAUUUUGGACAAUGGGCGAAAGCCUGAUCCAGCAAUGCCGCGUGUGUGAAGAAGGCCUUCGGGUUGUAAAGCACUUUUGUCCGGAAAGAAAUCCUUGGCUCUAAUACAGUCGGGGGAUGACGGUACCGGAAGAAUAAGCACCGGCUAACUACGUG
rnacentral:rRNA from 1 species